rnacentral:rRNA from 1 species
GUACGUAGGGGGCAAGCGUUGUCCGGAAUCAUUGGGACGUAAAGCGCGUGUAGGCGGCCCGGUAAGUCCGACUGUGAAAGUCCGGGGCUCAACCCUCGGAAUGCCGGUGGAUACUGUCGGGCUCGAGUCCGGAAGAGGCGAGUGGAAUUCCUGGUGUAGCGGUGAAAUGCGCAGAUAAUCAGGAGGAACACCAAUGGCGAAGGCAGCUCGCUGGGACGUGACUGACGCUGAGACGCGAAAGCGUGGGGAGCAAAGCAGGAUUAAGAA